AAUAAAUGUUUCGGGUAUAUUUAGUAGGAAGAUGCUUGUAUCAGAGCUUGUUCAAACCCGUCGAUGAAACUCGUCGAUGGGAAACUUAAUUCUCGUAGACAACGAGCAACUUCACGCCUCGAAAGUGCUCUCGUUUACUCUCGUAAACAGCUUUCACAAUUGGUGAAUCGAUCGAUCGAGUGAGCAGCGUGACGAGAGACGAGUACAAACAACUAUGCGUCGUCCUCGAUCGUCACAAGAUCGGGGGAGGAGGGGGAUGCAUCGAUUGAAUUCGAUAAGAAGAGAAGAUAAGAAACGGAGCAGCGUGCUGGAUGUUUGGCGGUCAAAGGGUAGCGGGAAGCUUAAGGAAGGAGGGCUGAAAAGAGGAAAGGGAACGAGA